AGGUGUGCCGGGAGCAGUUUGUCCGCCUGCAUAGCCAGCCCAUCCUGCACGACCUGUCCAGGUUCCUGGUGAAGCGAUUCUGUUCCGGCACCAGGUCCCCCAAGCACUCCAAGAGCGCGUGGAUUGGCAAGCUGCAGGACACGCUGAAGUCCGUGCCGAAGACAGGGGCCUUCGACCUGGAGCAGGUGAAGCAGUCCACUUACUUCUUCAGCUGACACAGCGGUCCCCAGCCAGGUCCCCAGCCAGGCGCGCGGCUAGUGUG